rnacentral:rRNA from 1 species
AGAGUUUGAUCCUGGCUCAGAACGUACGCUGGCGGCGGGCCUAACACAUGCAAGUCGAACGCACUCGACCUUCGGGUCACAUGAGUGAGUGGCGAACGGGUGAGUAACACGUGAGGAACCUGCCCCGAAGACUGGAAUAACCCGAGGAAACUCGGGCUAAUACCGGAUAUCCCCACCGGGUCGCAUGGCCAGGUGAGGAAAUGCUCCGGCGCUUUGGGAGGGUCUCGCGGCCUAUCAGCUUGUUGGUGAGGUAACGGCUCACCAAGGCAUCGACGGGUAGCUGGUCUGAGAGGACGAUCAGCCACACUGGGACUGAGACACGGCCCAGACUCCUACGGGAGGCAGCAGUAGGGAAUCUUGCACAAUGGGCGAAAGCCUGAUGCAGCGACGCCGCGUGGGGGAUGAAGGCCUUCGGGUUGUAAACCCCUUUCAGUAGGGACGAAAAUGACGGUACCUACAGAAGAAGCUCCGGCCAACUACGUGCCAGCAGCCGCGGUAACACGUAGGGCCCGAGCGUUGCGCGGAAUCACUGGGCUUAAAGCGUACGUAGGCGGAUCUAUAGGCAUCUUGUGAAAUCCCACGGCUCAACCGUGGAACUGCUCGAUGAACCAUAGAUCUUGAGGCAGGUAGGGGCUGUCGGAACGAUAGGUGGAGUGGUGAAAUGCGUUGAUAUCUAUCGGAACGCCGAAGGAGAAGUCAGGCGACUGGGCCUGUUCUGACGCUGAGGUACGAAAGCGUGGGUAGCGAACGGGAUUAGAUACCCCGGUAGUCCACGCCGUAAACGAUGUGCACUAGGUUGGGGACGUACUGACACGUUUCCUGGCCGAAGCGAAAGUGUUAAGUGCACCGCCUGGGGAGUACGGUCGCAAUGCUAAAACUCAAAGGAAUUGACGGGGGCUCACACAAGCGGUGGAGCAUGUGGCUUAAUUCGAAGCAACGCGAAGAACCUUAUCCUGGGUUUGACAUGUAUGGAUUAACUCUAUGAAAGUAGGGCUACGCCUUCGGGUGGAACAUACACAGGUGCUGCAUGGCUGUCGUCAGCUCGUGCUGUGAAGUGUCGGGUUAAGUCCCUUAACGAGCGCAACCCCUAUCGUUAGUUACUAACACGUAAUGGUGAGGACUCUAGCGAGACUGCCGGUGUUAAACCGGACGAAGGUGGGGAUGACGUCAAGUCCGCAUGGCCUUUAUGCCCAGGGCUGCACACGUGCUACAAUGGCAGGGACAGAACGAUGCAAUACCGCGAGGUGGAGCAAAUCGCAAAAGCCUGCCCCAGUUCGGAUAGGAGGCUGCAAUUCGCCUCCUUGAAGUCGGAAUCGCUAGUAAUCGCGGAUCAGCAUGCCGCGGUGAAUACGUUCCUGAGCCUUGUACACACCGCCCGUCACGUCAUGGAAGCUGUUAGUGCCUUAAGUCGCCGAGAUUCAUCGGUGCCCACGGCAAGACUGGUGACUGGGACUAAGUCGUAACAAGGUAACC